GCNCAUGGCCGCAGGCUGACGCAGCGACGCCGCGUGUGGGAUGACGGCCUUCGGGUUGUAAACCACUGUCGAGAGGGACGAAUACAGGGCCUCGAAUAGGGGACCCUGGGUGACGGUACCUCUAAAGGAAGCACCGGCUAACUCCGUGCCAGCAGCCGCGGUAAUACGGAGGGUGCGAGCGUUGUCCGGAAUUACUGGGCGUAAAGGGCGCGUAGGCGGUUCGCUAAGUUGCUGGUGAAAUCCCGGGGCUCAACUCCGGGGCUGCCGGUAAGACUGGCGGGCUCGAGCACGGUAGAGGCAGAUGGAAUUCCCGGUGUAGCGGUGGAAUGCGUAGAUAUCGGGAAGAAUACCGGUGGCGAAGGCGUUCUGCUGGGCCGUUGCUGACGCUGAGGCGCGACAGCGUGGGGAGCAAACAGGAUUAGAUACCCUGGUAGUCCACGCCGUAAACGAUGGACACUAGGCGUCGGGGGGAGCGACCCUCCCGGUGCCGUCGCUAACGCAGUAAGUGUCCCGCCUGGGGAGUACGGCCGCAAGGCUGAAACUCAAAGAAAUUGACGGA
rnacentral:rRNA from 1 species